ACUGAUAUCAGAUAAAACAAUGUCUCAAAUUGAAUUUUGAAUUGAAAAAAAAACUAAGACCUUAUAAGUAAUAGUAAGAUCACACGAAAUGUUUUCCCUUUUUUAAAUUUCAGCUUACAAUAACAACGAAAACGUUUGAAAUUUGAAUGAUUAACGGUUUUACGGUUUUGACUGGGAUAUUUUACAUACGAUGUUUCGCAGCCUUCCCAAGUUACUACGCUCUUAUAAGUGAUCAAAUGUUUGAAGAAACCUGUACUAGUCGUUGGAUGGCACUAACUUGUUAUUCCGACCAUAGUGAUAAACCCUUCUAAAGCGCUUCAGGACCUACGGAAAAUGGGGACAUUAUGAGUACACCAGUUUGUUGAUACGUGAAGGCAAAUUUGGUGGUAUGAUUUUUUUUUUGUGCCCAGCUCAUUGUGGUGAGAGACUACAGGACGAAAUUAUCCCACAGUAGAGAUAAUGAAAAAAGAAAAGGAGAUAAGAAGACGUAAGCAAAAAAAAUCACGGAAUCGCGUUAGUCGUAAACAUGUUGAAAGUUGUUAAAUGCAAUUUGCGCUCCAAGGAAAAAAUCGUCCUGACCGUAUAAAACGUAAGCAUAACAGGGAUAUAGAAGGAUUGACCGAUCAUAGCUACAAGAAACAGAGGAAUUGUUGAUACGAAUCCAACUUUUAAUCGCAAAUAGCAAUAGCGAUUAUGCCAAUAGCAAUUUUUAAAUUUUCGCAAAUUAAAUUACUCCAUCAUCUCAUUGCA